UACGGGGGGGGCGAGCGUUGUUCGGAAUUACUGGGCGUAAAGGGCGCGUAGGCGGCCAGCACAAGUCAGUUGUGAAAUCUCCGAGCUUAACUCGGAAAGGUCAACUGAUACUGUGCGGCUAGAGUGCGGAAGGGGCAGCUGGAAUUCUUGGUGUAGCGGUGAAAUGCGUAGAUAUCAAGAGGAACACCUGCGGCGAAGGCGGGUUGCUGGGCCGACACUGACGCUGAGGCGCGAAAGCCAGGGGAGCGAACGGG
rnacentral:rRNA from 1 species